AUUGAACGCUGGCGGCAGGCCUAACACAUGCAAGUCGAGCGGAUGAAGGGAGCUUGCUCCUGGAUUCAGCGGCGGACGGGUGAGUAAUGCCUAGGAAUCUGCCUGGUAGUGGGGGAUAACGUCCGGAAACGGGCGCUAAUACCGCAAACGUCCUGAGGGAGAAAGUGGGGGAUCUUCGGACCUCACGCUAUCAGAUGAGCCUAGGUCGGAUUAGCUAGUUGGUGGGGUAAAGGCCUACCAAGGCGACGAUCCGUAACUGGUCUGAGAGGAUGAUCAGUCACACUGGAACUGAGACACGGUCCAGACUCCUACGGGAGGCAGCAGUGGGGAAUAUUGGACAAAGGGCGAAAGCCUGAUCCAGCCAUGCCGCGUGUGUGAAGAAGGUCUUCGGAUUGUAAAGCACUUUAAGUUGGGAGGAAGGGCAGUAAGUUAAUACCUUGCUGUUUUGACGUUACCAACAGAAUAAGCACCGGCUAACUUCGUG
rnacentral:rRNA from 1 species